rnacentral:rRNA from 1 species
GUGGGGAAUUUUGGACAAUGGGCGCAAGCCUGAUCCAGCAAUGCCGCGUGCAGGAAGAAGGCCUUCGGGUUGUAAACUGCUUUUGUACGGAACGAAACGGUCCUGGUUAAUACCCGGGGCUAAUGACGGUACCGUAAGAAUAAGCACCGGCUAACUACGUGCCAGCAGCCGCGGUAAUACGUAGGGUGCGAGCGUUAAUCGGAAUUACUGGGCGUAAAGCGUGCGCAGGCGGUGCUGUAAGACAGGCGUGAAAUCCCCGGGCUCAACCUGGGAAUUGCGCUUGUGACUGCAGUGCUGGAGUACGGCAGAGGGGGAUGGAAUUCCGCGUGUAGCAGUGAAAUGCGUAGAUAUGCGGAGGAACACCGAUGGCGAAGGCAGUCCCCUGGGCCUGUACUGACGCUCAUGCACGAAAGCGUGGGGAGCAAACAGGAUUAGAAACCCGGGUAGUCC